rnacentral:rRNA from 1 species
AACGAACGCUGGCGGCAUGCCUAACACAUGCAAGUCGAACGAGACCUUCGGGUCUAGUGGCGCACGGGUGCGUAACGCGUGGGAACCUGCCCUUAGGUUCGGAAUACCUCCCCGAAAGGGGUGCUAAUACCGGAUAAUGUCUUCGGACCAAAGAUUUAUCGCCUUUGGAUGGGCCCGCGUUGGAUUAGCUAGUUGGUAGGGUAAAAGCCUACCAAGGCGACGAUCCAUAGCUGGUCUGAGAGGAUGAUCAGCCACACUGGGACUGAGACACGGCCCAGACUCCUACGGGAGGCAGCAGUGGGGAAUAUUGGACAAUGGGCGAAAGCCUGAUCCAGCAAUGCCGCGUGAGUGAUGAAGGCCUUAGGGUUGUAAAGCUCUUUUACCCGGGAUGAUAAUGACAGUACCGGGAGAAUAAGCCCCGGCUAACUCCGUG